UCUCCCUUCUAGGGACGCUGUUUGGUGCAGAGAAUAAUACGGCAUCAUGCUUCCUCGGAGGAAGCUUUGCAAGCAAGAGAGGGGAACCUGGCCUGGCUGCCCUGCCAGGCAGAAGAGAUGCUGCCAAGCAGCUCUGUUUUCCUGCUUCUAUUUCAGGGCAUGUCUUCUGUCUCCACAAGGAAUGGUACCCCAUCUGUUGAAGGGCAACUGAAGAAAAGCAAGGGGAGAUGUGACCUUUAUUUGACUGUCUGAACAGUGACACAGUUUUCAGAGAGAACAGAAAGAAGACUGCUGAAAUCAGCAGAUUUGGCUACAGAGCAGAGAGACACAGACUGCAAUCCUGCACUCACCCUCCAUCUUAUUUUAUAGCCAGGAAUAAAGACUAACUUGUACUGUG